ACAUACGACCACACCCACUGGAAAACUCGGGAUCCCGUCCGCUCUCCCAUAGAUAAGCCAGUGAGGGCCGGAUUAGUAGUUGGGUCGGUGACGACCAGCGAAUACCUGGUGUUGUAUGUC
rnacentral:rRNA from 1 species